rnacentral:rRNA from 1 species
UACGUAGGGUGCAAGCGUUAAUCGGAAUUACUGGGCGUAAAGCGUGCGCAGGCGGUUUGGUAAGACAGAUGUGAAAUCCCCGGGCUUAACCUGGGAAUUGCAUUUGUGACUGCCCGGCUAGAAUCUGGCAGAGGGGGGUAGAAUUCCACGUGUAGCAGUGAAAUGCGUAGAGAUGUGGAGGAAUACCGAUGGCGAAGGCAGCCCCCUGGGCCAAUACUGACGCUCAUGCACGAAAGCGUGGGGAGCAAACAGG